CAGUAGCCGCGGGAAUACAGAGGGUGCGAGCGUUAAUCGGAAUUACUGGGCGUAAAGCGUGCGCAGGCGGUUUUGUAAGACAGGCGUGAAAUCCCCGGGCUCAACCUGGGAAUGGCGCUUGUGACUGCAAAGCUAGAGUGCGGCAGAGGGGGAUGGAAUUCCGCGUGUAGCAGUGAAAUGCGUAGAUAUGCGGAGGAACACCGAUGGCGAAGGCAAUCCCCUGGGCCUGCACUGACGCUCAUGCACGAAAGCGUGGGGAGCAAACAGGAUUAGAUACCCCGGUAGUCCCUGUCUCUUAUAC
rnacentral:rRNA from 1 species